GGCAGCAGUGGGGAAUAUUGCACAAUGGGCGCAAGCCUGAUGCAGCAACGCCGCGUGAGGGACGAGGGCCUUCGGGUUGUAAACCUCUUUUAGUAGGGAAGAAGCGAAAGUGACGGUACCUGCAGAAAAAGCACCGGCUAACUACGUGCCAGCAGCCGCGGUAAUACGUAGGGUGCAAGCGUUAUCCGGAAUUAUUGGGCGUAAAGAGCUCGUAGGCGGUUUGUCGCGUCUGCUGUGAAAACUGGAGGCUCAACCUCCAGCCUGCAGUGGGUACGGGCAGACUAGAGUGCGGUAGGGGAGAUUGGAAUUCCUGGUGUAGCGGUGGAAUGCGCAGAUAUCAGGAGGAACACCGAUGGCGAAAGCAGAUCUCUGGGCCGUAACUGACGCUGAGGAGCGAAAGCAUGGGGAGCGAACAGGAUUAGAUACCCUGGUAGUCCAUGCCGUAAACGUUGGGAACUAGAUGUAGGGACCAUUCCACGGUUUCUGUGUCGCAGCUAACGCAUUAAGUUCCCCGCCUGGGGAGUACGGCCGCAAGGCUAAAACUCAAAGGAAUUGACGGGGGCCCGCACAAGCGGCGGAGCAUGCGGAUUAAUUCGAUGCAACGCGAAGAACCUUACCAAGGCUUGACAUAUACGAGAACGGGCCAGAAAUGGUCAACUCUUUGGACACUCGUAAACAGGUGGUGCAUGGGUUGUCGUCAGCUC
rnacentral:rRNA from 1 species